GUGCUCGCUUCAGCAGCACAUAUGCUAAAAUUGGAAUGAUACAGAGAAGAUUAGCAUGGCCCCUGCACAAGGAUGACACAGAAAUUGGUGAAGCGUUCCAUAUUUUU